rnacentral:ncRNA from 21 species
UGCGAUGAGUCGAGAAUGGUCACGCAACUUUUAGUUGUCCGCGCAAGCGGCUCGGUGACAUUUUUAGAUAACGGGACACAUUUUAAGCACGGAUUUGUGGUGUCUGACUUCAGCGGAUUGUGGAGUCC